UGAUCAUGGUCAGCUGGAGGAUCAGGUUGCGUCGACGUUGCGUGAAGAUGCCAUUCAGUCCAUCCUGUAUGCCCAUUAUACGUACAUAUACCAACAGCAGCAGGAGCACCCAUCAAAGUCGGCGCACAUUUCCUCAUAACUUGCCGGCGCGCACAACAAUAGCAAAUUUAUAUUUAUAUAUCUAAUUGUAUUAUAAACUAAAUUAAACAAUUUUAAAGCAAAUUUUUGUUUUCGUCUCGACCCGCAACACGCUGCUGUGCAGUGUGACCCGAUUUUGACUAGCUGAAAAUACCAAUUUAUGACGCAAAUUAAAUCGCAUUUUCGUCAUUGCUGGAAAAAUACUAAGAAAGUCACGGAAUUCCAAAGAAACGGCUGCAGGAGCAGCUGUCAAACUAAUAAAAAUCAGGUGUGGAUUCGAAUCGCCCAAGAAAUUUAGGUGUCCAUUUUAUUCGAAUCUCGUUCAUUUGUAUAUGUUCCGGGAGUAAGUUUGAGAAUGCCAACAAAAUGGAAAAGCAUGGUAGACUACCCGAAUUAAGCAUUUGCCUGCUGCAAGUUCGGCUCUCUGUUUCGUUCCGAAAUAUCUGUUAGCAUUCAAUAGCUAAGACCAAAAACAAACAUAAACCACGAAACCACCAAAGCACUUUCAUUACUAUAUACGUUUUUGACGCCUAUAAGAUAUUCCAAUAGUUGAAAUAUUCCCCUUGCUUCAUAGUUCCGACUAUAUCAAAUAUAAUGGAACCGUGGCUGCCCACAAGGGAGAGCUCAACACCAAGUUUGGGUUGUAAUUAAAUUUAAAUUGUUUCAUUUAUUGUAAAACGGAUUUUUUUUACUCUGCAGGUCAAUUACUUAAGUUGAUUUUAACUUAAAUCCUUGAUGGGUAAA
rnacentral:sRNA from 1 species